AAUGAACGUUGGCGGCGUGCCUAACACAUGCAAGUCGAGCGAGGUCCAUCCGGUGGCAACACCGGUGAAGACCUAGCGGCGAACGGGUGAGUAACACGUGAGGAACCUGCCCCGAAGUCUGGGAUAACCCGAGGAAACUCGAGCUAAUACCGGAUGCCCUCCACUGAUCGCAUGGUCGGUGGCGGAAAGAUUUAUCGCUUCGGGAGGGCCUCGCGGCCUAUCAGCUAGUUGGCGGGUAACGCCCACAAGGCAUCGACGGUAGCUGGUCUGAGAGGACGAUCAGCCACACUGGGACUGAGACACGGCCCAGACACCUACGGGAGGCAG
rnacentral:rRNA from 1 species